UACAUUUGCAACUUUGAUAGAAAAGCUAUCAAUACAUAAAAAUCAUUGAAAUAAUAUUGGCAUG
ncrna:unclassified sequences S15-Flavobacteria ribosomal protein leader